rnacentral:tRNA from 1 species
GGCCGGUUGGCACAGAUGGUUAGCGCGUGGUGCUAAUAACGCCAAGGUCGUCGGUUCGAGCCCGGCACUGGCCA